AGAGUUUGAUCAUGGCUCAGGAUGAACGCUAGCUACAGGCUUAACACAUGCAAGUCGAGGGGAAACGACAUCGAAAGCUUGCUUUUGAUGGGCGUCGACCGGCGCACGGGUGAGUAACGCGUAUCCAACCUGCCCAUCACUUGGGGAUAACCUUGCGAAAGUAAGACUAAUACCCAAUGAUAUCUCUAGAAGACAUCUGAAAGAGAUUAAAGAUUUAUCGGUGAUGGAUGGGGAUGCGUCUGAUUAGCUUGUUGGCGGGGUAACGGCCCACCAAGGCUACGAUCAGUAGGGGUUCUGAGAGGAAGGUCCCCCACAUUGGAACUGAGACACGGUCCAAACUCCUACGGGAGACA
rnacentral:rRNA from 1 species